CUGGCCUUCCAGUGGGACAAAUGGAGAGCAGUUCUGGCCUGGAUGUAGCCACGGUGGACUCGUGGCAAGGAGGGACAGUACCUCAGCGCGGCUGCUGGCUGGGAGAGCAGUGUGAGGAGAAACAGACCCACAGUGGAAACAGCAGGGAGCUCCUCUCUUUCUGAAACAGGUGGUGGGUCAGACUUGGCCCAUAGUCAGUAGUUUGCUGAACACUGAUCCAGAUGACUCGGACAUGCUGACUGAUGCGCCCCCAACCCCUACACCCACCCCCACCAUGACGUGCACCAGAAGGAUGAGAAAGCAUGAAGUCUCUCUUGAUGGACGAUUCUGAUGACUGUGCAAAAUGUACAAAUGUUGAUUAUUCUAUGAUCCACAUCUACCUAAUGGGACCCCUCUUCAGGCCAGAACUCUACAUAAGAAAUUAACCUUUUUCUGGUAUAUAUUUUAAGAAGUCACAAGUUAAUUUCUCCUCUUAUAAUUAAAUUGUAUGAUAGAAUAAUAAAAUAA